GACGAACGCUGGCGGCGUGCUUAACACAUGCAAGUCGAACGGUGAAGCGAGUGCUUGCACUCGUGGAUCAGUGGCGAACGGGUGAGUAACACGUGAGUAACCUGCCCAUCACUCUGGGAUAAGCACUGGAAACGGUGUCUAAUACUGGAUACGACCAACCCUUGCAUGGGGUGUUGGUGGAAAGAUUUAUCGGUGAUGGAUGGACUCGCGGCCUAUCAGCUUGUUGGCGGGGUAAUGGCCCACCAAGGCGACGACGGGUAGCCGGCCUGAGAGGGAGACCGGCCACACUGGGACUGAGAAACGGCCCAGACUCCUACGGGAGGCAGCAGUGGGGAAUAUUGCACAAUGGGCGAAAGCCUGAUGCAGCGACGCCGCGUGAGGGAUGACGGCCUUCGGGUUGUAAACCUCUUUCAGCAGGGAAGAAGCGAAAGUGACGGUACCUGCAGAAGAAGCACCGGCUAACUACGUG
rnacentral:rRNA from 1 species